rnacentral:lncRNA from 1 species
AUGGAAAAUUUGAGGCACAGAGGAAGGAAGUCACUUACCAAAGAGAAAGAGAGAAAGAGAGAGAGAGAGAGAGGUCAAGGAAGAGUGUCAGAGGCCAAAAGAGUGUCUCUCCCCCCCGCCCCCCGCCCCCCAGUUGCCAGCCCAGCACGUUUGCGCCCCUGCCCCAGGCCUGGUCAGAGACCAUUCAAUGACGCCAUGCCCCUUGACUCUUCUCUUGUCCAGGCGACAAGCCUCCAUCUGCCCAGGCUCAGGACAAUUUCAUUCAGUGGCUGCUGUGGCUGGGCCCCCGACCAGGAGCACAUGGCUCCCAGGUGGCCCAAGCCCCUGAUACCCCCAGACGUCCCGCAGCCCUUCUCCCAGAGAGCCCAGGAGAGCGGGCAGCCCGUGCUUACCGGGGUCCCAGCUCCCCACGCUCAGCUGCCCACCAGACUGGAUGCAGCUGCCACCUGCACGAAGGGCUCAGAGCUGGGGUCACGCGUCUGGGACAGUCUGCAGACACACGUCCCCUCUUCCUCUGUCUCACUCCGGGGCUCGGCAGUCUGGGGCUCUCUUUGGAUGUCACUUCUUCCCUGUGUGACUGUCUCCCUCUCCGCCUCUCCCUCUCUUUCCCGGCCAGGGCAGCUGUCCAGCCGCACCGCUGCCCUCCCCGCUCGCCACUCCAGAGCCUUCCCUCAGGAGGCGGAGUCAGAGGGGCCUCCAAGGUCCGGGUGCGGUGACAUCAGCGCGGAGGGAGGCCGGCUGUGCUGCUCAGGGCCCUGCGCUGGGGCCGGCGCGCAGUGGAGGCAGGGCCCCGGGUCCCCGGGCGUGCUGCUGAGCAGCGGGACUGGACACCGCCUCCCCCAGCUUCCCCUGCCUAUUAUAUGUAAUAAGGCCACCUGCUCCCGGCACGUGGGCGGGGAACCUCCUGAUCCCGACCGGGUCACAGAUUUGCUGAGUCUCGGCAUCUGCCGCGUCCACCAAGGCCGUGUUCUCCGUAAACGCCUGCUUGGCACUCCUGAGAGGAGCCGACCUGGCAGGGCAGGGCCGGGCGGGGGGUAG